rnacentral:rRNA from 1 species
UGCCAGCAGCCGCGGUAAUACGGAGGGUGCGAGCGUAGUUCGGAAUUACUGGGCUUAAAGAGCUCGUAGGUGGUUAAAAAAGUUGAUGGUGAAAUCCCAAGGCUCAACCUUGGAACAGCCAUCAAAACUUUUUAGCUAGAGUAUGAUAGAGGAAAGUGGAAUUUCUAGUGUAGAGGUGAAAUUCGUAGAUAUUAGAAAGAACACCAAAUGCGAAGGCAACUUUCUGGAUCAUUACUGACACUGAGGAGCGAAAGCAUGGGUAGCGAAGAGGAUUAGAUA